ensembl:lncRNA
ACUAAUGCUUUCAAUUCCUUGACAACGCAAAAAUCAUUUCACAAGAACAUGGAAUGGGUGUGGAGCCUCACCAAGCUUUAUUUACAUGCGCACCAUUUCUUAUACAAACUAGAUUACAAUUAAAAAUGGAAUACACAGGAAAAAUACCAACUAACAUCAAGUCGAGAAGAAGCAAGAUUAAUAAAGGAAACAGCUCAGAGGACGUGAGGGGGGCAGCUGACCUGGACCUCUAGAGAAUCAUGAAAAAGUUCCAAGAGAAGUUAAUGAAAAGGGAACAUCGAAGGUGAUUAAGGUAUCUAGUGGUAUGUUUACUUCUAUUUUUUUUGCUUUUCUUAGCUUUAAAUUUGCACGUGACGUGCUGCAGGUGUGUGUGUGCGUGUGUGUAUGUGUGUUGAGCACGAGGAGAUAAUCUGUGCAUCAAUGAAGCAGUAGCACUGAGUGGUUGUGUGGAAGGCCUGCUCCACUAUGACAAAGUGUAAACUACCUCCCCGAAGAGCCAAAGCAUACACAACGUAUGUAUGUUUUAUCAGGGAUCAAUAACCCCUCUUUAAGUAGAACGGGCUUUUAUGUUGUCAGUCCUGUUCACGGGACUAGUCGAGUGCUUCUAGCAUUUAGCGCUGUCAUCGUGAAUAAAUCCAAAUGCCUAGCAGUGACGGCUCGGGGGUUUCCAUUCCAAGCACGUGUGAUAAAUGCUUUGGAGAUUUUUAGAUGUGACAAGGGUGUAGGAAUCUCCAGCGCGUUGUCAGAUGGGGCUUCUACCACAUCAAAAUGACCAGCAAACAUUCUGCGAGCACCGGGACGUUAACCUGCUGUACUCCACGUGGAAUAAAACAAGUGUGAAGCCGAGGAACGUCCGUUGAGGAGGAUUUCCCUGUGUCUGCCUUGAUGUGCACACACUCGUAACAAUAAACCCUUUAACGCGGGAGGACUCAGCUUUGUUAGCCCCGAUUUAAAAAAAUAGAAAGUGUGUGUGUGCUUAAGUGCUAAAGACACAGGGUUCCUCUGUGAUUUACAAUUUCUGUCGCAGGACGGCACCAUUGGAAGGAUGUAGGGGUACAGCUAGGUCAUGCACUAAACCUCAGAUAGCACAGUAGAUCAUUCUAGUCAACCGUGCACACACACACACACACACUCCUCCGACCUUGGCUUCAAAGGGAUAUACACACACAUCUGUACACUAUUAUACACAGCGGGGCAUACACUUCAUGUUGCCACCCCGGACAGAGAGAAGGGAUCCCAGGAUGCCCAGAUGCUACAACAACGGUGCUUUCCACCAUUUGAAAAAAAGAAAAAAAAUCUGGUUCAACAAUUAAAUUGCUGGUAACAGUGUUCCUUCCUACGGGGGGAUGUAACUUUGUUCAUUACUUCUUCAACUUUACCUUCAGAGGUUUCAUGAAAUCCAAGGGGGUCAAGUACUACAUGAGUAUAUAAGUACAGCGAGUAUAUAUGCAUUUCACACGUUUUCAUAAUGCAUAAACACAUGCACGCGUACAGUCGGCUGUGCUGUAUGCAGCAUGAGGGAUAGUGAGGGAUUACACAUCCUUGUGAGAUUAAAUCAACAGAAAUAAAUUCCACAGAUAAUCACGUACACGCACGCACAUAAACAUGUACUCGGGAGGUACGGGGAAAUCACCUGGAGGAGCACCAGGCGUGUCCACGAGGGGGGAUGUGUGUAUGCGCGUCACAAGUCCGACAAGGAGGAAAAAAAUAAAAGCCAUGACAGCAAAAAAAAAAAAGAAAAAUAACGGGCCGCGUGAUGUCUUAAUCCUGACGUUUCUUCUCCUCCUCCUUCAUCUUGGCGGCCAAAGUUCACAGGUUACAAGUUCAACCUCGCCGUGCUACAAAUGGCUGCAGCUUUGGGCAUCUGCAGAAUGAGGGUGAAAAACAGAAAAAGAAAAAGACCAAACGAAAUGCACGGCUUGCUCUCUCCGGGUCGGGCUCAACACUGUUUACAAAGCACCUGUAAUGGUGUGGAAAUGUUCACAACCCCCAGGACACAGGUAAUCAUUUUGCCUACAUCAUAUGCAGUGAUAAAGCCAUCUGACAAAAUCUUUACCUGUCUUUCUUGAACUCUACACCACUCUGGACUGUACAAAUAUCCAUGACAAAGAUUCUCUUUCUCUCGUCUUUUUUUUUUCUUCAGUUUUUACAGUUAGAUUACAGAUUUACAGAUAUUUCCUUUCGUUUUUUAAUUGUUUUUUUUACAAAUGAUAGCAAAUAUUAUUUUAAAUAUUCAGCUAAUGGUAAUUAUAGCCCUCAGUAUGCAACUUAAUUUAAUUGAAGCAACAGAUUUGGAAGUGCAUGGCAUUGAGUUGAGCAGUUUUGACUCGUACGGGUCCUGGCGAUUUGCAAACUGGGGCAAAGAGUCGGUCGGUCUGUUGGUGUGUUUGCAUGUACGUAAAGAUACUCCACGUUCAUCUUUCCAUUUCAUCAACACACCGAAGACAUGUAUGAUGCAGACAACAAUGACAAGAUAGAAAGUCCCCAAAACAAACACUGAACAUUUAAAACACCAAAAGAGAACAGAGGGAUAUUGUUUUUUCCACAGAACACAUCCCAGGAAACCCCUGGAUCAGAUUUACACCACGGCACCUCUGGAUCUUUUCACUCUACACUUUGUUUUUGUCUUUAUUUUUGUUUUCAAAGGAAACAACUCCUUCAAGCUUUGCUUUAUAUUAAAUCCUUGUAUAUCACCCGAGACACCCUUCUGAUGAAUCUGUGUCUCUUUGAUGUCCACAGACUGAGCGUCAAAGGAGAAUUGCAUAAUUUGUGAGUUUUACAUUAACUUCCUCGUUGUUGUUGUUGUGGUGGUGGUGGUUUCACAGGAGGCUUCGAGGGAUGACGUGCAGCGUCUCUGGAGUUUGUCCGAUCGUCCGUGGUUCAUCAGUGUGGGAGCCGAGGUAAAGCUCUCGUGAGAAAAUCUUCUGUAAACACACGGUUCGUAUCUUUACGUUGUGCUGAUGGCAGGUUUGGCAAAAAGGAUGUUGUGUGUCUGAUCUUCUUUUGCACUACUUAGUUCAGACCUGGAGAAAUAAAGAACGAGAUUAUUACGACUGCAUGUUCAUGCUGUAAUAACUGAAAGCAAGAAAAAAAAUAAUUUCUGUUUAUUAACCAAAUGUCC